rnacentral:rRNA from 1 species
GACGAACGCUGGCGGCGUGCUUAACACAUGCAAGUCGAGCGGAAAGGCCCUUCGGGGUACUCGAGCGGCGAACGGGUGAGUAACACGUGAGUAACCUGCCCCAGACUUUGGGAUAACCCUCGGAAACGGGGGCUAAUACCGGAUACGACACAGCUUCGCAUGGGGUCUGUGUGGAAAGUUUUUCGGUUUGGGAUGGGCUCGCGGCCUAUCAGCUUGUUGGUGGGGUGAUGGCCUACCAAGGCGACGACGGGUAGCCGGCCUGAGAGGGCGACCGGCCACACUGGGACUGAGACACGCCCCAGACUCCUCCGGGACGCAGCAGUGGGGAAUAUUGCACAAUGGGCGGAAGCCUGAUGCAGCGACGCGGCGUGGGGGAUGACGGCCUUUGGGUUGUAAACCUCUGUCAGCAGGGACGAAGCGUAAGUGACGGUACCUGCAGAAGAAGCGCCGGCCAACUACGUG